rnacentral:rRNA from 1 species
GACGAACGCUGGCGGCGUGCUUAACACAUGCAAGUCGAACGGAAAGGCCCUGCUUUUGUUGGUUGCUCGAGUGGCGAACGGGUGAGUAACACGAGAGUAACCCGCCCUUUACUUCGGGAUAACUUCAUGCAACUGGGGCUAAUACCUGAUAGGAUCUCCUGCUGCAUGGUGGGCGUUGGACAGAUUCGGCGGUUGGGGCUGGUCUCGAGGCUUAUCCGCUUGUUUGUGGGGUAGUGGCUUACCAAGGCUUUGACGGGUAGCCGGCCUGAGCGGGUGACCGGCCACAUUGGGACUGAGAUACGGCCCAGACUACUAUGGGAGGCAGCAGUGGGGAAUCUUCCACAAUGGGCGGAAGCGUGAGGCAGCAACGCCGCGAGCGGAAUGCCAGGCUUCGGGUAGUAAACCACUUUCGACUGUGACGAGGCCUGCGUGACGGUAAUGAGUAAAGAAGCACCGGCUAACUACGUG